ACUGAUUCUAAGUACUUUCUACACGUUACAUCCAGUACAGAUGCUUGAUCCACCUCUGAAAUUAUAUAGCCCGAGAUCACUGUGACGUCAUCCUUAACUUUUGCGCUCGACAGUUUUCGUAAAUUGUCGGACAAAUUCGGGGAAGGAAAUGACGUCAUAUGUCAGCAAAAGUUCAGAUAGGUACAGUUUUUUAGGUAAGCAUAUGUGUUGUUUACUUUAAUGUUUUGAAAAGGAUUUUUUAUUGUUAAAUGAAAAUGAUGUAUGAGAUUUUCAGGUAAGAAUUUUCCGUAGAAACGCUUCCUGUUCCACCAUGUUGCUAUGCACCGCAAAGGAUCACUGGGAUAGUAGAACUUUUUCACGUGGCCUCAUAAAAUUUUCUUUGAACAAUGUGCAGAUUUCAACUCGAAUUUCCUCCGUUCGUACACAUUGUCUAUGGAGCUCGCUACGCUUCGCGCCGCCUCGCUGCGCUCGCUAUGAUGAAUAUUGCGAACACAAACUGAUGUCGGUUGUCAUAAAAAGGGAGUGAAAAAAGGACGAGACCAUACACCUUUUCCCUGUGAUCUAAACCUGUCAUCUGCAAGCAGUAAGCAUGAUUUUUCAAACCUCCAAGAGAUGAGAACAUCACUGGUAUGUGUUAACGAGGUCAUUCCUAAUACAAGCCACAAUGCGGAAAAAUAAAAGACUAACGUAAAGAACUGAAACCAUGAGUGAUGAAGAGAAGUGCUGAUAAUCAGAUUAACUCUAUUAUGUUCAUCCUGAUAAAGCCUUUCCCGAUUGAUGACUUGGAGCAUUUAUUUGGUUAUUUAAGGAUGACAAUAUUUAUUUGAACAUUUAUGAUAUAAUAUUAAGACAAUUAAUAAGCAACACAACAUAUCCUGAAAUAUGAAGCUGGACCAAACCAGUGAUAACCUACCAUUUAAGAUUCAUUACAUUACUUGCAAUUGGAUUUGAAAACCAUUUCUGAAACUUCAAAAGUCAUGAAUAACUUGGACAUAUAAUGCAUACAAUUAAGAAUUAUUAUUGUAAAGAUUAUAUAUCACGAUACAUGCAUAUGCUAUAAGAAAUACAAUUGAUAGACAUCAAAAGUUGUAUAUACUGACCAAGUGCAGUAAUGAAGUUUGUAAUGGCUAUAUACUAUUUACUGGUCAUGUGGAGUAACUGAUUUUUAAGAUAUAUAAUUAUGUUUAAUUUUAUGAUUGCAUAGUAUAUCAAAUCAUCAUUUCUGUAUAUCAGUGUCUGUCUGUCCAUCCAUUUAUCUGUCUGAAGUCUGUUUUAUUAUUAUGACACUUAUAUACACAAUUGCCUUACAGAAAAUGGUAGUCUUCUUAAAUGACGUUUUUGAAUGAAUGGUUGAGUAAAUUUUUUAUUUUAAAUAUUUUUUGAAAUGAUUUUUGUGAAUAAGAAUGUUAAUUGUUAUACAUACAGGUAUAGAUACCUUAUCUAUAUUAUCAUUUUUACAUGAAAAAAAAUGUAAAUGUAGGUGGUACAUAAUGAUACGAUUUGUUAAGUUUUAUUUAAACAUGAAAAUGAAAAAGAAAUUUAAUUGGUGUGGCCUUUCACAUUUUCUAUUGUUUAGUUCAAAUUGAGGCUGAAACAUUGUAAUAUAUUACCCUGCAUAAUUAUUCUGAUAAAGUCAAAAUUAUACAUUAUAAUUAGCACCAAGACCAAUUAUGGGGACCAAGGACGGGUUCAAAGUUUAAAGUUCAGCAUAUAUAUAGGAACUAUAGGAUUGCAUACAUGUGUAUACCUAAGGACAAAUCAUAAAUCAUCUCAGAAAUGUAGUGUUGUCCAGUCCAAUCAGAUGAUAUGAUCUAAAGAAUUAUCAUGAUUAAUUAUCAGAUUUCAUUUUAUACCUGUAAUCAUUUGAAAGAUUCUCAUAAUUUUCAAUACCCAUUUUAAUGCAAUACCUUGAAAAUCAGACAAAACGUUUAAAGAUUGAUAGAGCUAGGAAAUUCAAAUUAAUUACAGUCAAUAUAUGAUUUUUUAGGAAACCUGUUAUUUAUUUGGUUUGAUAUUGUAUUUUAAAAUCAUUCAGCAAAGGCUUAAUAAAAAUUGUGUGUAUAAAAGUU